rfam:Ovis aries breed Texel chromosome 11, whole genome shotgun sequence.
UCCCUGGUGGGCCAGUGGCCAAGACUCUGCACUCUCAAUGCAGGGAGCCUGGGUUCAAUUCCUGGUCAGGGGG